rnacentral:ncRNA from 1 species
AAUGGCGUAAACAAAGGGAAGCGAAACCGCGAGGUCAAGCAAAUCCCAAAAAUAACGUCUCAGUUCGGAUUGUAGUCUGCAACUCGACUACAUGAAG